rnacentral:tRNA from 1 species
GGCGGGUUAGCUCAGUCGGUGAGAGCUUGGUGUUGAAAACACAAGGUCGCAGGUUCGAUUCCCGUUCAGUCC